rnacentral:tRNA from 1 species
GGGCGGUUAGCUCAGCUGGUUAGAGCGCUGCGUUGACAUCGCAGAGGUCACAGGUUCGAGUCCUGCAUCGCCCACCA